GCAGAAAGUCCAAAACCAAUUAAAAGACGGACCAGACCCUACAGACAGAGGGUGUCCACUACAAGUAAUGAGGCUGACAGCCCUCAGUAUGAUAUCAUGUCUGAUGAUAGACGAGAGAGGAUUUGUGCAUCUGUCUUUGAGAGACAUCAUCCAUCUCAGCCAGCUCAACCUCCUGAUGAUGUCAGAAGCAUUAGCCCUCCAACCAAGUUUGU